UCUUAUGGAUGAACAAAGGAAAAUGGUUUCUUAAGAUGAAAGCUACUCCUGGUGAAGAUACUAUGAA
rnacentral:pre_miRNA from 1 species